rnacentral:lncRNA from 10 species
UCGGGAACUAUGGGCAUGAACUGGUCUAGGUCAAGAAGAGGAUAGAAAAGAUAGGUGGAUGAAUAAAAAGAGUGCAAGAUCUGAAUCAGAUAACAAGUGGAAGAGGGGUCAACACUAGACCAUGCAUGCCUUAAAGGAAUCACAGGAGCAGAAUUUGCAUCUAAAUGAAGGCAACAAGGAGACCAUAGAAAGGCUGUGUCUAUUCACAAGUUUCAUAUGGAGGUAUCAAAGUAAAGA